GAUGAACGCUGGCGGCGUGCCUAAUACAUGCAAGUCGAGCGAACAGAUGAGGAGCUUGCUCCUCUGACGUUAGCGGCGGACGGGUGAGUAACACGUGGAUAACCUACCUAUAAGACUGGGAUAACUUCGGGAAACCGGAGCUAAUACCGGAUAAUAUAUUGAACCGCAUGGUUCAAUAGUGAAAGACGGUUUUGCUGUCACUUAUAGAUGGAUCCGCGCCGCAUUAGCUAGUUGGUAAGGUAACGGCUUACCAAGGCAACGAUGCGUAGCCGACCUGAGAGGGUGAUCGGCGACACUGGAGCGGAGACACGGUCCAUGCUCCUGCGGGAGGCAGCAGUAGGGAACCUUCCGCAAUGGGCGAAAGCCUGACGCAGCAACGCCGCGUGAGUGAUGAAGGUGUUCGGAUCGUAAAACUCUGUUAUUAGGGAAGAACAAAUGUGUAAGUAACUAUGCACGUCUUGACGGUACCUAAUCAGAAAGCCCCGGCUAACUACGUG
rnacentral:rRNA from 1 species